rnacentral:lncRNA from 1 species
AAGCGCUUACACUGAAAACCAUACUAUAUCUGAGAUUUUUUUUUCUUUUUUGUUUAAAUUUAAAAGUUUACUUAAACUGCUGAUUCAACAAGAAAUUAAAGUCUAGGACUAAUAUGGGACAUUCUUGGGGAGGUUUCGGAUGAUAUUAUUCUUCAUGCCGACCCUUGUGCGCAUUGCCUCCACUCCCGUUCUAUUCAUCUCCUUGAUUACCUUCAUCCUCACCAUGUGCUCUCUUGUUUGCACGGUUGCUAAUCCCAUGCUCUUGUACCUGAAAAAUACAGGAUGCCAUGUUAAGGAGAUGGGAUUCCCAGGUUGCCCUUCUUAAUAGAAGGGUAAGUUGAGAAAGAUUAAAAACACACCUUGAGGCCAGCGCAGCUGUAAUGGCCACAUUAUUUGCCGGUGACGGGCGGGGUUUCCGGCGAUAAUACCGCAGAUAUUCACGGGAGCCGAACGUUUUAGUCGAUGUUCCUUUAUCUGUUCUCCUAGUUAUGAUAAGCUCAGACCCACCACCAAGCUCUACAGUGUUGGCCAUGUCACUGGAUGAGAUCAGCUGUUUCCCAUCCUCAUCCAUGUAACUGUCGGAACAAAGAAUUUUAUUAUUUUGUUGAAAAGUAAAUAAAUCAAAUUAGGAAAUAAGAAACAAAAAAGAAAGAUGAACUUUGAAGACAAUGACCUGCUGCUAUAGUCAUAGAACUCUUCUAACUCGGCCUCCUCCUCGUCAUCACCAUCGCCGAAAUGUAUUUUGCAAUGACGUUUUGCUUCCAUAUGCUUCCUAACUGCUUCCAAGCUGUUAAAAGGAUGGCACCUAUCAUUGCAGUAUAAACACAUGAAAUCCCUCUUAACCUGAAAAAAAUUGAAAAGACAGAGCAUGUAAGUGAAAGCCACAGCUGCUUAUGGUAAAUUGAUUAACUGAGCUAAUAAAAUCAAGCAAAAACAUAGAAUGCAAGAUGAGAGUAAUUUUAUAAUAAGGGAAUCCAUUACUUUAAUAAAGUAAGGGACAAGUAAAAGGGGGGCAAAAAAAAAAAAAACAUUCGUUGUAUUUUAUCGCGUAAUGUAUUCAAAAUCUGUGUUUUCUUAUCUUUUAGCUUGUCUCUUAUUAAGGUAAGGGAUUCCCUUAUUUUAUGUAAAAUCACCUUAAGACCAAGAUAGGUAAGCAGGCCUUUUGGAUCCUUCAAAUACUCAACAUCAGGAAUAAAAAACCCAUGACACUUGUGCAUGUGAACCAUGCAGUUCUCAAUUGCAUCGUGCGGAAGAUCACACAUGAAGCAACAUGCUGGAUCGAACUCCUCAAAGGCACCAUCAUCGUCAUCCUCCUCCAUGUCAUCAUCAGCGGGAGACCCAACAUUCAAAUUGGUCAGAGAAUUAGUGGCCUCACUAACCAAUACUUCGUCUGGACCAACCUCUUCCCACUCAUCAUCACUAUCUUCACUUUCUUCAUUGUUUGCUUCUCUUUUCGGAGGAGGCUUAUUUACAUCACGAAGCGAAAUUGACCUAAUUAUUACCUUCUCCUUCUCUUCAUUACUCGUUCCUUGAGCAGCCCGCAUAAUGUGGCUUCGUGAGUUGAGAUGCUGAGCAAGAGCCUUAGAGCUUCUGUACCCUUUACCACAAAGACCACAACUGUACGUCAUUGGGGUCUCAUUCGUAUUUUUCUCUUGAGCAAGUGCCGCUUGUCUAGCCAGAAAUAGAGCUUCUGUCACUCCGGGAACCCCAGCCACCUGGUUUAUAGGGAGGAGCAGAAAAAUGAUAUUUUUCCACAUUAUUCAAGCGCAUCAACUAAAAAUUCAUUUUCUUGAAGAGCUCCAAACCAUCAUAAAAAUUAAAACAGAUUUAAUGCAGGGUACCAAAUGUAGUGAUUAAACAAUAACGACCACUUGGUAUAGCAAGUAAACUGUCUGCAAACAAGUUUCUUAAGGUUACUUUAUGAUUGUUUUGGUUGUCAGUUUCAGCUUCUUAAAAAGAACUUACAAUUACCUAAAUCGACAAGUAUGUCAAGGUUAUGUUACGGUAGGAAGGAGUGAAAAUUAUUAAACAAAAUAAUGAUAUUCUAGAAAAAUUCGAGAAAAAAAAAACCUCAACAAUCUCCUCCCCAAAAACCCAAAAUUUGAUAUUGUCUUGGUACAGGAAAAAUAUAUUCCUUAACCCCUAAAAGACUCUACUCCAAUUACAAACAAACCACUCAAGAACUUGGAGAGAGCCUUUGGCAUUGACAAAAUAGAAUUUUUUUUUUUUUAUGCAAUUUCUAAGCUAGAGUAGCUCAAAUAUCAUAACUUUAGAAGAAAAAAAAAAAGAAGAGCGGCAUUAAAAUAGAAAUCAAAAUAAAAAUAAAAAGUUCUAGCAUUCGCAUAUUGCUAAUGUAGUUGCCUUUCAUAUAUUUUACUAUCUUCUAUACGAAUCUAUGUAUGCAAUUAUGUGCCUAAUGCUGUACCAGAUGGCGGAACACAAAUUUAUAUUUGCCUAUUUUGGCUAUAAAACAUUCAAUUUACAGAAGCACUUUUUGGACAAGCAAUUCUUGUAAGAUACAUAUAUACUUCUUCAACAAAGUACCGCCGCCAAGCAGAAGCGCUUAAUCUCAUAAAAUUUUAAAGAGAAGGAAACUGAAAAUUAAAAGUUAAAGAGAGAGAAAGAGACCUUGCGUUUGAGAUUGUAGCGAUACCAAUCGGACUUGUAGUGAAGCUUCUUCUCGGCGUCGUCAUUGAAUUCUCUGUUACAUGCAUUGCAGGUCAGCCCCGGCAAGUUGUGUUCUUUCGUCUCCUUGGCGAUUCGAUUUUACGACGCACAACUUUUAUUUUUAUAAAUAAAACUCAUCGCUAGUGAAAAGAGGAAUAUCUCGCAGGAAUUUCUCCAUUGUCUGCUCAUCAUCCUUCAAAUCUUGGACGGUUUUCAAGGAUGCUUCAGGAACUGUAGGUUCACAUUUAUUGAACUUACUAGUUUUGCCAAACAGUAAGCUACAGCGCCUAUUAUUGGUAAGAUGACCAGUACCAGAAUUGUAACUGCAAAUUAUGUAAAAUUAAAUCAGCUGCGAAAUUAGGCUCUCCUUUUCUCUAACAAGUGUAAGAGGUUACCAAGAGCGCCCGCCAGUUUGUGAUGGUGACCCCGUGUUCCAAAUUUGAGGAAGGAUUGCUGGCAUUCUGAGGACAAGACGAUUGGAGAAAUCGGGAAAUUAAUUCAAGGACCCUGGAUCCUGGCUUUUGAGAGCUUUGAUGCCGCAGAAGCAAAAGUCGCCUUGUUAAUGCUUUUCCCAUUUUCAAAGACAUAGCUAAUUAUGGUUUUGAUACUGCUUAGUUACAAUUUACAAUGACAGACAAAACUAAGGAUACAAGAAAAACACAAGGCUCUAGCUUACAAACUGAGUAAAAAAAAAAUACAAGUAUUGGAAAAUUCAAGGAAUGGAGAACACAAGGCACAAGCUUAGUUGUUAUCAGCAAGUAGCUAUUGUGUAUCAUGCUUGGCCAUUAUUGGAGUGGUCUCCUUGUACCAGCGAGACUGAUUAGAGGAAUUUAAACCAUCACUAGAUUCAAGUGACUUCAACCUCGUCAUCUUGAUUAAGUCCAAAUAGCGAAAUGGUUUUGGUGGCGGUAAAACUUCCACUACUCCCUCCAGCAUCUUGAUCACGGCACUCAUUGGAGGUCUAUCUUCGGGAGAGUCUUGCACACACCACAAAGCCACCAUGCACAAUCUUUUUGCUUUCUCUUUGUCUUUCUCUUCAAUCCCACAUCCCAGUAUCAUUGCACCCAAUUCACAUUUCUCAUAUUCUUCCCACACAUGUUUUGGAAACCAAUCGAGGCUCUCGGUGGCUCCAACAAUUGCAUUUCUUCUCCUUCCAACAAUCUCAAACAACACCAUUCCAAAGCUAUAGACAUCACAUUUAUGUGUAAUAGGGUAAUUCCCUGAUAAAAAUUCUGGUGCAGAGUAGCCAGGAGUGCCCUUAUAUCCACUUAUUGUAACAUGAGUCUUGUUCCUAUCACAAAGCUUUGCAAGCCCGAAAUCUGCUACCUUAGGAGAGAAGUUUGCAUCUAAGAGAACAUUUUCGGGCUUUAUGUCGUAAUGAAUGAUUCUCUGUUGGCAUUCUUCGUGCAAGUAAACUAAACCCUUGGCUGUCCCUAUAGCAAUUUCGUGCAACUUCUCCCAUUCUAUUGCUCGUUUCUUGCCAAACAGAUACCCAUCAAGUGAACCAUUUUCCAUGUACUCAUAAACAAGUGCAGUCAUGUGUUGGUCGUGGCAAAAACCAUAAAGCCUAACCAAAUUUAUAUGAUAAGUUCUUCCAAUAGUUCCCACUUCAGCCAUGAAUUGCUCUUCAGCAAUUCUGCCUAGGUUCCUAUUAAGAACCUUCACUGCAAUUUUCACACCAUUAGGAAAUUGUCCUUUAUAGACUUCUCCAAAACCUCCAAAUCCUAACCGAGUUGAAUAAUUGCUCGUAAAAUUAUUGAGCUGGAGAGAAGUAAACCUGACCGGCUUCUCCCUUCCGAUUUCUUGAAGGAAUCUCUCCAUUGUUUGACCAGCUUCCCAUAUUACUUCAACCACGUCCUCUUCAGGCUUAUUAGCAGAUGCAGCAUUUCGGGUUUCUGUUUCCGUACGAUUUAGCUUUUCCCAAAAAUAUCGGAUGAUGUAAAAUACUACUAUAAUUACUAUAAGUCCAAAUAUUACCGACAUGGCUGCUAUGACUGCAAGUUAAUAAAAGCGUUUCAGAUUAGUGAAAUAAUGUAGGAGCUGUCAUUGAUGGUUAUUGUAUAAAUUUAAUUGCUUGGCACAGCAUUUAAUGUUAAGCUUAACAUAUUGUUGUACACACGGUGUAAUAACUUUAAAUGCUCAGCACAGCCUAGAUCAGUACAACAUCAAAAUUCGAUUAUUGCACCAUUCAACAAUAUAUUGUUUGUUGAGUUUCGAUCCUGUGUUGAUAUAUAUGUGCUUAGCUUUCAAAUGUCUUUUGCUAUCAUGUGUGCAUAAAUACCACUAAUCACAGCCCUCUGUCUGCAUGAGCACAACCUCAGAUAUGAUAGAAAUUUUAAAAUAAAUCAGAGGUAUCAUAUCAAUCAUACAACAAUCAAAUAAUGUUAUGACGUGUGUAUAUUUAAUUUAAAAAAUCAUCAUACAAGUUGUAGUUAUAUUAAAUUUAAAUACGCAUGGCAUGCAUACAUUAAUUGAUUGUAAUACAUCAUAGGUAUUCUUGAAAUAUGCAUGAAACUAAAAUCUACUUCGUUAAAAUCGUUGGGGAGUGUCGUCGGGUUGGUUUUUUUUUUCUUUUUGGGUGUGGGCUCAUCUUUAAUGACUUACAUAAUGGUGGUGGCCCGUCCGAUGGCCCGUCUGGUAGCCCGUUUUCUGAUGGCCUGUCUGGUAGCCCGUUUGCUGACAUUCUGGAAGAUACAAGAACAUUCAAAAGCAAAGAUUAGAGGCAGCUGAAGUCAGGUCUAGCAGCUUUAUGAAAGCUAAACGAGAAGUUAAGGAAAAAAAAAUGAAAAAGAAAACUGUAUUUGAAAUAAUACUGACUUUGAUUGCCUUUUUGCUUCCGCGUCUAUCCAAAAAUUUGUAGAUCGACUUCUUCCUCUUCACAACUCUAAAAGUUGCACGAAAUACUUUACAGACAUUUUGUUAAUUGGAGGUGGAAAGUUGGCCAGAGAUGAGAAUAAGCAAGAUAGAUACGAUGGUUCAAUGGAGACUAAAAGGACAUUUGAAAUAACCAAUUAAGAAACCGCUUUGAGAGUUACAUACAGUGGAAACUGGAGGAAAUUUUUAUGAUAUCUGUAUACAUCAAGUCAUCUUCAUUAUUUUUUGGUGUAUUAAAUUAUUUAAUAUCCGAAAAUUAUAUUGAGUCCCGACUAAUUCAGAUUCGAGCCGAGUAUUACCACUAGGGCGGCAAAGUUCUCCCAAUAAAUAUUUAACACAGCUGCAUUCUUAAGUCUCGAACCAAAAAUCAUGCCAGUUAAUCUACGCACUUGUUGGUAUCAAGUCAUCUUCAUUAAUUUUACCUGAGUCAACAUGCAUAAUUAAGACUUGGCCAUGUGAUUGAAGUUGUCUUAAAUCGAGUUUACUGUGAAAUCUAUUAUGAUACACAAAUAGAGUUUAAAUUUAUAUAAUUGUGGUAUAUGUGUUUAGUUAAAUAAUUUUUCUUAGUUAGUCACUAAUAGAGAAACAAAAUUACAUAAUUUUGUUCUUUUUUAAAAAAAAUUAUAAUAGAGAGAUAGUUUAAAUAAUUAAUCAAUUAAGUUAUUCUUUUAUUAGGUUUGUUGAUCAUCUUUGAUCGUUGAGGUUGAUUUAACAUAAUUUAAUUUAACUAUUUUAUCUUUAUAAUACAAAUUGUCAAAAGAAAUGUGCAUAUAUUAUACUAGAAUAAUUAGGCAUUUAGUUUUUAUAUCUUAUAUAAUCUAACAUUCGAAAUUUAAGACAAUAAAUUUUCAGUCCCCUACUUGUAGAUGGUAUACAAUUAACUACCAAUUAAUUUGAUGAGAUAUACAUCACAUUGACAUUUUAUUACUUGAACUUUGAUUGCGUUUUUGCUUCUACCCAAAGACUUGUUCUUGGGUUCUUCACAACUUGAUGAUCAGUAUGUCCCGCUAAAGUUGUAUGAAAUAAUGCAAAUGAAGUUUCAGCGAAGGCACAGAGGAAAUGAAUAACCAAUAAGCUUCAUCGAGAAUGACAUAUGGUGGAAAAUUAAUGACAUUCGAAAAACUAUUAAUAAUAAUAGGUGUCUUGAUCAUCUUUUGUUAUGAAUCAUUCAAAGUCAGCACGCGUAAGAUGUAUGAAUCCCAAUUUAUUUUGUUUUUGUGGUUGCAAAACAAAUUAAAAUAUGAAGUGCCAAAGAAGAAAGGGAAAUAAGCAAUUAAUAAUUUUCUGAGUGAUGAGAUGCGUGACAACAUGAGAGAGUCAACAUACAGAACUUUCUAUUAAAAUAGUUAGUUUUAUCAUGUUCUGAGUUUCAGGUUAUUUCUUACCAUUCUCUCUUUAUGUUAUCGUGACAUAAGAAAAGAUUGUACAAGAAUGUGACAAAAGAUGACUCUUUCUUCAACCAGGUUUAUUUUCUAUCAACCACAGGCUACGAACACUGGAGGCCGCCUACUACUACUGACUGAUGCAGGAUUUUAGGCAGGGGUGGAACUAUGUUCACGCCUAGGGUUGCCAAGGCAACCACCAAGCUUUUAAAAAUUUUUAAGAAAUAAGAUUAAGAAGUUUUUAAACUGUCCCUUAAAUUAUUUUUCAAGACAACCCCCAAUCUUCUUUAAAUACGAACUUGCAAUAUAUUUUGAUAAUCCCCAAAUUAAAAUCCUUACUUCGCCACUGAAUUUGGGUUUCAAAUUUGUGAAACUUAAAACCUCCUGACUAUUUUAUCAUUCAACAAUGGGAUAUUCUUUGUUGAAUUUGGAUUCUAUGCUGAAUUGAGCUAUAUUUUAACUUUUAAGAAUCUUUUUGAUGAUGAUGAAAAUGAUGACAUUCUGUAAGAUACAAGAACUAGCAAGGAUUUAUGGCAGCUCUAGUGGUUUAUGUACUGUUGCAUGACACUCACUACACUAAAAACAUAUAAAAACAAACAAAAUUCCAAUUUGGGUAAACUUCAAUUCAAUCCAUAAAUAUAAUGACAAUCUUAAGUUUAUCAUCUAUUUUAUUCAGAACAUAGCAAAUAAGGGCAAGUUGAAUUAUUUUUUCAUCUUCUAAACAGUAAAUGAAGGUAAAUUUAUAUUUUUGUACUUUUGAGAGAAAAAUUAAAAAUUGUGAUUCUACAUAGAAUAUGGGAUAAAUUAAAAGUUACCCUUUCAAAUUUACAGUGUCCACAGCAAAAAUAUAAUAGCAGAGGAAGAGAUGGUCGGAGUCUCAGAGAUGAGAAGAAAGAAUGAGAAAAGAUGAAGGUUCUGUGAAGACUAAGUGAACACUUGCGUAACCAAGAAGAUUCGUGGACAAUGACAGGGAGCGGUAAAUGUCAUUUCAAAAUGGGCAAAGCAUAGGUAUAAUGUAAUGUAAAUAUCCAACAAUGCCUGACCGGCUUCCAAGAAAUAGAAACGGAGCUCCAGUGUACGUGCAACAUCAACCGUGGUAAACCAAGCUAAAGGAAAAUUUAGCAUAGCCAUUCUCAAGACAAUGGAGGUCUACAAAGUCUCGAUCGUAAUGAAUCAUUCUAACAAGUAAAGAGAAAGGACCAAUGGAGGAUGGCCAGAAGAAACAAACUGAAAAUUCUUUCAUGAAACAACUGGAGCAUGUCAAUGUUUUACUAACAAAUCUGUAGACCAGACAGUCAUAAUAAAAUUAAUAACAAGCGCUUACACUGAAAACCAUACUAUAUCUGAGAUUUUUUUUUCUUUUUUGUUUAAAUUUAAAAGUUUACUUAAACUGCUGAUUCAACAAGAAAUUAAAGUCUAGGACUAAUAUGGGACAUUCUUGGGGAGGUUUCGGAUGAUAUUAUUCUUCAUGCCGACCCUUGUGCGCAUUGCCUCCACUCCCGUUCUAUUCAUCUCCUUGAUUACCUUCAUCCUCACCAUGUGCUCUCUUGUUUGCACGGUUGCUAAUCCCAUGCUCUUGUACCUGAAAAAUACAGGAUGCCAUGUUAAGGAGAUGGGAUUCCCAGGUUGCCCUUCUUAAUAGAAGGGCAAGUUGAGAAAGAUUAAAAACACACCUUGAGGCCAGCGCAGCUGUAAUGGCCACAUUAUUUGCCGGUGACGGGCGGGGUUUCUGGCGAUAAUACCGCAGAUAUUCACGGGAGCCGAACGUUUUAGUCGAUGUUCCUUUAUCUGUUCUCUUUGUUAUGAUAAGCUCAGACCCACCACCAAGCUCUACAGUGUUGGCCAUGUCACUGGAUGAGAUCAGCUGUUUCCCAUCCUCAUCCAUGUAACUGUCAGAACAAAGAAUUUUAUUAUUUUGUUGAAAAGUAAAUAAAUCAAAUUAGGAAAUAAGAAACAAAAAAGAAAGAUGAACUUUGAAGACAAUGACCUGCUGCUAUAGUCAUAGAACUCUUCUAACUCGGCCUCCUCCUCGUCAUCACCAUCGCCGAAAUGUAUUUUGCAAUGACGUUUUGCUUCCAUAUGCUUCCUAACUGCUUCCAAGCUGUUAAAAGGAUGGCACCUAUCAUUGCAGUAUAAACACAUGAAAUCCCUCUUAACCUGAAAAAAUUUGAAAAGACAGAGCAUGUAAGUGAAAGCAACAGCUGCUUAUGGUAAAUUGAUUAACUGAGCUAAUAAAAUCAAGCAAAAACAUAGAAUGCAAGAUGAGAGUAAUUUUAUAAUAAGGGAAUCCAUUACUUUAAUAAAGUAAGGGACAAGUAAAAGGGGGGCAAAAAAAAAAAAACAUUCGUUGUAUUUUAUCUGGACAAUGACAGGGAGCGGUAAAUGUCAUUUCAAAAUGGGCAAAGCAUAGGUAUAAUGUAAUGUAAAUAUCCAACAAUGCCUGACCGGCUUCCAAGAAAUAGAAACGGAGCUCCAGUGUACGUGCAACAUCAACCGUGGUAAACCAAGCUAAAGGAAAAUUUAGCAUAGCCAUUCUCAAGACAAUGGAGGUCUACAAAGUCUCGAUCGUAAUGAAUCAUUCUAAGAAGUAAAGAGAAAGGACCAAUGGAGGAUGGCCAGAAGAAACAAACUGAAAAUUCUUUCAUGAAACAACUGGAGCAUGUCAAUGUUUUACUAACAAAUCUGUAGACCAGACAGUCAUAAUAAAAUUAAUAACAAGCGCUUACACUGAAAACCAUACUAUAUCUGAGAUUUUUUUUUCUUUUUUGUUUAAAUUUAAAAGUUUACUUAAACUGCUGAUUCAACAAGAAAUUAAAGUCUAGGACUAAUAUGGGACAUUCUUGGGGAGGUUUCGGAUGAUAUUAUUCUUCAUGCCGACCCUUGUGCGCAUUGCCUCCACUCCCGUUCUAUUCAUCUCCUUGAUUACCUUCAUCCUCACCAUGUGCUCUCUUGUUUGCACGGUUGCUAAUCCCAUGCUCUUGUACCUGAAAAAUACAGGAUGCCAUGUUAAGGAGAUGGGAUUCCCAGGUUGCCCUUCUUAAUAGAAGGGCAAGUUGAGAAAGAUUAAAAACACACCUUGAGGCCAGCGCAGCUGUAAUGGCCACAUUAUUUGCCGGUGACGGGCGGGGUUUCUGGCGAUAAUACCGCAGAUAUUCACGGGAGCCGAACGUUUUAGUCGAUGUUCCUUUAUCUGUUCUCUUUGUUAUGAUAAGCUCAGACCCACCACCAAGCUCUACAGUGUUGGCCAUGUCACUGGAUGAGAUCAGCUGUUUCC